CUUUUAAUAGAUGAUUUUACGACAGUAGAAACAUUUUGCCUUUAGGCUUCUCUGCAGGUGAUCGAGAAUGGCCUAAAAUAGGCGAUAUGGUUAUAGUUAGAUGUGGCGACAGCAAGUCAGUCAGUCAGCACAGGAAACUGUCAGGCGGAUUAAUACAUACCGAUGUCUUAAAGGAAUCGAACUGAAAUGCCAGAUGCAAUUGCACUUCUCUACUCCUACUGCUCUAAUAAUAGCCGCAGGUGUUUUUGACGACGGUAUAGGGGACAUUAUGACUGACUGAAACAUCGGUUCAGUGCUACACACAGACCAUUAUAAAGAGAAAUAGUUCAAAUAUGUGACCGCAUUUACGAUUAGGUGUUUUUAAACUAGUAAAAAUGACAGGGGUAAAUGUUGUCCAUAGGUUCCCAAAUGUACACAAGAUGCGUAACGGUCGUCGGAAAAGUUUUUAAGUCACUCCAAAUAAACUCGAAUGCCGUUACAACAAAAUCAUGCUUAAAUUGCUUAAACAAAGGACGCGUAAACUAAUAUCACCAACUGCACUUUAACUGUCAUUUUUUACGUACAACGAUUUGUGAAUUCGUCGUGCUUGAUGAAAACCUAUUAGCUAUAUUAAUUUUUUUGUCAACAUCACUCACCACAGAACCGAACUAAAUCUUUCCAAAUAGUAGAUAGAGGGCCCUCGGCUCCGCCUUGCAAGGAAAACAACCUAUAAAUAAAGAAGUUUAUUUAGCUAUGGCAAGGGACAUUUCAUGUUUACACAACCCAAGCGUUACAGAAACGCCGAAAACAAAUUUGGCUGCCAAUAUUUUCCGUUAAAUAUGCAUUUCGGUAAAAGGGACGAGAAAUUUUUCACGAGGGGAUUUUUUUGCAGUCGCCCAAAUCGUAUUAAAAACUUUCGAUCUAAAAAUAAUAUACGUGUGUGAAAUGUUUUAGCGUUUUUGCGCAAAAGUGCUUUUUUCGAGUUAUCCUUGUUUGUGGUUAAUCGACACCGGAAUCUGUAAAUAAUGAAACGGUUGCGGCGGUCGAAACUAUUUCUUGCAAAGCGAACCAACGUAAAAGAAUUUCGAUUUUUCUAUAUU